UGGGGAAUCUUGGACAAUGGGGGAAACCCUGAUCCAGCCAUGCCGCGUGGAUGAUGAAGGCCCUAGGGUUGUAAAAUCCUUUCGUUGGGGACGAUAAUGACGGUACCCAAAGAAGAAGCUCCGGCUAACUUCGUGCCAGCAGCCGCGGUAAUACGAAGGGGGCUAGCGUUGUUCGGAUUUACUGGGCGUAAAGCGCGUGUAGGCGGACUGUUAAGUUGGGGGUGAAAUCCCGAGGCUCAACCUCGGAACUGCCUUCAAAACUGGCGGUCUGGAGUGAAGGAGAGGCGAGUGGAAUUCCGAGUGUAGAGGUGAAAUUCGUAGAUAUUCGGAGGAACACCAGUGGCGAAGGCGGCUCGCUGGCCUUUUACUGACGCUGAGACGCGAAAGCGUGGGGAGCAAA
rnacentral:rRNA from 1 species